CCUACGGGCGGCAGCAGUCGAGAAUUAUUCACAAUGGGGGAAACCCUGAUGCAGCGACGCCGCGUGAGCGAUGAAGUAUUUCGGUAUGUAAAGCUCUAUCAGCAGGGAAGAAGAUGACGGUACCUGACUAAGAAGCCCCGGCUAACUACGUGCCAGCAGCCGCGGUAAUACGUAGGGGGCAAGCGUUAUCCGGAUUUACUGGGUGUAAAGGGAGCGUAGUCGGCGAUGCAAGCCAGAUGUGAAAGCCCGGGGCUCAACCCCGGGACUGCAUUUGGAACUGUGUGGCUGGAGUGUCGGAGAGGCAGGCGGAAUUCCUAGUGUAGCGGUGAAAUGCGUAGAUAUUAGGAGGAACACCAGUGGCGAAGGCGGCCUGCUGGACGAUGACUGACGUUGAGGCUCGAAAGCGUGGGGAGCAAACAGGAUUAGAUACCCGUGUAGUC
rnacentral:rRNA from 1 species